CCGUCGUCGUGUUAAUACAUGAUCUAACAUACGAUCGUUACUGCCUGAUCACCGUCAUUAUCCGAUCAUACCGCGUCGGCGCAGAACGAGUGGCAGGACGCGAACGUUAUUACGACUUGCGAAAUCGCGAAAUUACCGAUUGAUACGAUACCUAAAGCGUUCGGCACUUUUGACGUCGAUUCGUCACGCACGGGGAUUAUCAGCGACAGGUGAAAAUCGCGAUGGCCUCGACGAAGACCGAUGAGAGAGAAACGACGCCGCGGCCGGCGGGAUUACGUACGUGGGUGUUGGUGCGGAACACACUGUGCGAUUCGGUGAUAAACUGUUCGUCGCGAGAGUCGCGAGGACUAUAUCCUCUGAAAGCUAUAUGUGUCCCCUUAAAGCUGCUCGUUCUUACGUCCGAGUAAUUCACUAAUGGAUCGAGUCCGUCGCAGAAUUGCCGCUGGUUUACGCCGGAGGAGCUUCAGCGAAGAAUGAACGAAAAUAAGGACGAAUCCGACGGUCACCGACAAAAACUGCACAAUUCCGGCAUAUCUGCGCGGGUUCUUGUGCCACUUCGCUCUUUCCC